GAGUUUGAUCGUGGCUCAGGACGAACGCUGGCGGCGUGCUUAACACAUGCAAGUCGAACGGUAAGGCUCCAGCUUGCUGGGGUACACGAGUGGCGAACGGGUGAGUAACACGUGGGUGACCUGCCCUGCACUUCGGGAUAAGCCUGGGAAACUGGGUCUAAUACCGGAUAGGACCGCACCGUGAGGGUGUGGUGGAAAGUUUUUUCGGUGUGGGAGUGGGCCCGGCGGCCUAUCAGCUUGUUGGUGGGGUAAGUGGCCUACCAAGGCGGCGACGGGUAGCCGGCCUGAGAGGGUGGACGGCCACAUUGGGACUGAGACACGGCCCAGACUCCUACGGGAGGCAGCAGUGGGGAAUAUUGCACAAUGGGCGGAAGCCUGAUGCAGCGACGCCGCGUGGGGA
rnacentral:rRNA from 1 species